rnacentral:lncRNA from 1 species
UUUGUUUUUUUUUCUGCCAUGUCACAAACCAUAGAUGAUGACUUUGACGAACGUUUAGUAGAUUGUGUCCGUGUAUUUCCAGUUCUCUGGGAGAUGAAAAGAAAGUCAUAUAAGGAUAAGGUGGCCAAAGACAACGCAUGGAAAAACAUCUCGGAGAUUUUGAGGCAUUCAGAGGAAGACUGCAAAAAAACGGUGAAAUAUCCGAGAUGCCUAUAAAGGAAAUAAAAAACGGGCAAUAACUGGUUCUGCGGCAACCAAAUCGAAGUAUACUGAUAAUGACCACCUUAAGUUUCUGGACGCAUCUUUAGCUGAAAGGGAAUCCCACUGUUCAAUUGAACAAAAUGAGGAAGAAGAAUCGACGCAACAAUCUAACAGAACUGAUGAAAAUAAAGCGGGUAGUUCAUCUAGUGUACAGCACAUUGGUGCAUCUAAAGAAGGUAUGGUUGACAAUGAAAUCUUAAGCGAUGUAUUUCCGAAGGAAUCUGACAAUGAGGCAAGCAAUGAAAAGACAUUAAAAUCACAACAAAGUUAUGGCGAAUGUACCAGUUCCGACGAAAAUACCAUAAAGAAGCCAGAAGAAGGCGCACUAAACGAAAAUUUGAAUGGUAAAAAUAAACGAAGGAAAACUCAUCUUGCACUAGAUACAACUUAGAUUUGGAACCAAAUUCAAAAAAAGUAAACAGAACGACUCGAAGUGAUUUAAAGUUUGCUACAAAACUGAAAUAAAAGUAAAAAUGUUGAGAACGAACGGCAUCCUAUUUAUAAGUUUUUUGAAAGUUUGGCAGAAACUGUAGUACAGUUCCCUCCGGAUUUAAUUGCUAAUACGAGAGCUAGGGUUGCUCAAGUUGUUACAGAUUUCGAAUUAGAAAACAUUGCAAGGUUCUCACAACCGAUAAUGCCUCUAGAACGUCAACUCCCACCUUCCACUGUGCUCACACCUGAUAACAUGUUGAGAAGUAACUCUGCCUUAUCUUCAAGUGAAUAUUCAUCUCAUUCAGAAAUAACCAGCCCUCAUGAUUCGAUUAUUAAGCCACCUGAAUAUAGUAGUGCUUUAGUGACACCUUAUGAAAACUCUCGUGAACACAACUAUGAGUAA